UACGUAGGGGCCAAGCGUUGUCCGGAUUUAUUGGGCGUAAAGAGCUCGUAGGCGGUUCGGCAAGUCAGCUGUGAAAUCUCCACGCUCAACGUGGAGGGGUCAGCUGAUACUGCUGUGACUUGAGUCCGGUAGGGGAGUGUGGAAUUCCCGGUGUAGCGGUGAAAUGCGCAGAUAUCGGGAGGAACACCAGUAGCGAAGGCGGCACUCUGGGCCGGUACUGACACUGAGAGACGAAAGCUAGGGGAGCAAACGGG
rnacentral:rRNA from 1 species